rnacentral:rRNA from 1 species
UCGGUUGAUCCUGCCGGAGGCUACUGCUAUCGGGGUUCGAUUAAGCCAUGCGAGUUAAAUGUUCUUCGUGAACAUAGCGAACUGCUCAGUAACACGUGGAUAACCUACCCUUAGGACCGGAAUAACCCCGGGAAACUGGGGAUAAUACCGGAUAAGCCAUAGACGCUGGAAUGCCCUAUGGUUCAAAGCUCCGGCGCCUAAGGAUGGAUCUGCGGUCUAUCAGGUUGUAGUGGGUGUAACGUACCUACUAGCCGACGACGGAUACGGGUUGUGAGAGCAAGAGCCCGGAGAUGGAUUCUGAGACACGAAUCCAGGCCCUACGGGGUGCAGCAGGCGCGAACACUUUACAAUGCGGGAAACCGCGAUAAGGGAACCCCGAGUGCCAGCAUCAAAUGUUGGCUGUCCAGAUGGUUAAAAAUCAUUUGUUAGCAAGGGCCGGGCAAGACCGGUGCCAGCCGCCGCGGUAACACCGGCGGCCCGAGUGGUAGCCGUUUUUAUUGGGUCUAAAGGGUCCGUAGCCGGCCUGAUAAGUCCUUUGGGAAAUCUGACAGCUUAACUGUCAGGCUUCUAAGGGAUACUGUCAGGCUUGGGACCGGAAGAGGUAAGGGGUACUCCAGGGGUAGGAGUGAAACCUUGUAAUCCCUGGGGGANCAUCUGUGGCGAAGGCGCCUUACCAGAGCGGGUCCGACGGUGAGGGACGAAAGCUAGGGGAGCAAACCGGAUUAGAUACCCGGGUAGUCCUAGCUGUAAACGAUGCUCGCUAGGUGUCAGG